AAUGUAUAUAUGUUGUAUUGUUUAUCAUGAUAUAAUUAACAAUUACAGUAUCACAAACAAGAUGACAUCAACAAUGAACACAGGGUGGGUAGACGAGUAUUCUUAUGGUUCUCUACCCAUUCUACUAUUAACUAUUAUCAUGGAUCAUAAACAUAUAAUAAACUACUAUCUGUUAUCCAUCAUAUGCAAUGGAAAUUCACUUUGAAACUCUCUUGAUAUCUUGAUUUUUUUUUAUAGUUAUACACUUGCAUGUAUUUCAUAACAAUGUCAUUCCAAUAUAAGUAAAAAAAAACCAAGAGGAUCACACUAUAUUUUGUGCAUGUAUCUUUCACUUUACAUGUGCUCUUAUAGUAUCAAUUUUAAAUUCUAAAUUGUUUUAAUUUCACCUAACUUCAUCCCUAAGAACCAAGAUUAUUAUUGAAAUGAGAUUUGUUUUUAAAAUAUAAAGCAUGACACUAUAUUACUGAAUAUUUAAAGAAACCACAACCAAAUUCUCUGUGUGUAGCAUCAAUGUUCUACAACUGCUUAUGCUUCAGAAAAAAAUACUUGUAUUCACAACUCCCCAUAUAAUGAAACAAUUUGCACAAAUAGUUUAACAUUUUGUUUGGACUACUUUUUUUAAUUGAAAAGCAAGCUGGUAUUUUUAACAAAAUAUAAUAUGAAGUUACAACUAUCCAUUAAAGCUUAGUUAUUUAAGAGCCUACAAAAAUAUAAAAUAAAGCAAUCAGAUUUCGAAGAUACCUUCCUUCAGUGGGAUUUAUUCAACCGUAAAAAUACACCACUACUGCUAUGUACUUUAAACUGUGUAUAUCAAUCUACUUUAGACAUAUAUAUGGUUUAUAUUGCACAUAACAAUAAAUUAUUGUAAAACAAAUGUACACAGUUGACACAUAAAUUAACACAAGUUUUGCAUCCAUCUUUGAUUUACUACAUAUAUGUGUUUACCUAUAUAUUAAGCUUCACUCACAUUCUAUUUAUCUUAUAGAUACCGAACAACUUACUAUAUACAACAAAUGUAUAGGAUGAUUUUACCCUUGUAGUAAUGUCAUUAUAUAAGUGAUGUAAGGUAUGAAUGGUCCAAGCAUUGAAAAGCCUUAUAGAGACUAGUAAAAAUCUACUGAGACGAAUAAAAUAAAAGACCUGAUCUGAAAGUCAUAACUGGGACUAAUACAUUGAAUCUAUUUAUCAAUUAGUCCCAUGUUCUACUGAAUUUGGAAAGAUAAAUGUCAAUAAGAACUGGUAUAUGUAUGUUGUAUUGAUGCAUAUGAUUGAAUUACUAAAUAUACAGGCCCUAUUGAUAAUGUAAAAUUGUCAACAAGACAAGCAAAAACUGUUCUUUAAUACAACCCUUAAGCAUUUAUGAGAAAAAUAACAUUUUUUUUAAGUGAAGAAAUAAAUUAUGUCAAUCAAUAUUUAUGUACUAGUCUUGAAAUUGAAAUAUUGCACUUUUUGAAAUCAUUGAAUUCAAUAGUGUCUUUCAAAUCUGAUUUUAAAUUUCUAAUUUCAAAGAGUUAUGUUAUACAUAUUUUUCAUUUUCCAAAAUUUGGUCACAAGACUAACUGAUAAUAAUUGCACUGUAAGUAUUGUGGUUUCUCCCUCACGCAAGGUUUCAUUUUUUGAAUUUGUUCAGUUUUUUUUCCUUUAAUCUUUAAUUUUGCAAUUUAGAUAAAAUUGCACAAAUAGUCUGAGCGUAAAUUUGAUAUUACAAUCAAAAACAUUAAAACUAAAUCCCAAUAAAAAAGUUUGGUUCUAGAAAUCACAAAAUUUUAUCUGGAAUUAUGGUCCCAUAUUUUUGACCUCAUAUAAAACUGAUGGACUUCUUCCAGAAACAUGUGUACAGAUAUCAAUAUCUUCCAUUUUUUUCUUUGGAUUAAUUAAAUUAUUAAAUUUUAUUAUCAGAUUUAGGAACAAUUACUAUUGUACAUGUGCAUAAAUUUCACAAUUACAAAACAUACCACAAUUUUGUUAUUCACUGAUUACAAUUUUGUAUUAAUCAUGCGAUUGAAAUAUAUUAUGCUUUUAUAUAGAGAAUUCUUUAUAUAACAAGUUAGUCAGUUAACUCUGAAACAUCACACGAAAGUUACUCACUUAUAAUGAGAUUCAUGUAUUUAGUAUUGAUCUAUUUUGCACCCUGUAUUACACAGAGACUUUACACACAGACUACCUACUACGAUGAGACAUUUGGCUACAAAGCAUGGAUAUAUACAGCAGGUACAAAAAUGUAUAAAACAAUUAUCACAGACGAUGUUAUAAUGUUAACUAGCAAAUCUACAUAACAAUUUGUUUCAACCUAGAAAAUGAUUUCAGGGCCUGUUUUAAAAAUGCCUUGAAGUUUAAUUUAGACACAGGUUGCAAACCUCAAGUCUCCAAGCCAUAACACAUUAAUAUUAUCCUAACAAUUUCCAGUAAUUUGACAAUCAUUCCAGUUUUAGUAAAAGGAAUGUUUAAACAACACUUCUAAGUUGCUAACAAAUAUUUACAGUAUAAUCAAACAAUAGGUACAGACAUAUAUAUAUAUAUAUUUAUUGCACUUUAUCAACAAUUAGUUCUCUGGCUCAAAUAGAAGAAACACUGACUUCACAAGAAACUAGUAUUUUUUUGGUUAUUUUAACAUUUACAAUAUUAUUCAGAUUUACUAGUGACAAGCUAAGCUUCAGCAGUAAUUAAUGCUUAUACAAAUCAACAGACUUUUUGAAAGUCGGAAUGAAAUUCAUUUAAAUGGCACAAUAAUGGAAUGGGAAGGUUUUAUCAGUUCUUGGUUUUAAUUUUUCAUUAGUUUAGCCACACCUGUCAACCUGUGAUGAUGAAAAUGCAGGUCAUGACCUGCAUUGAAGAAUGAAAUCUCAGGUCAUAAUGGAUACAAACUUUUUCAAGCUGAAUUUCUGUUUUUAGGGAACAUUUGUCUUAUAAUUUAAAUCAAAGUUUUCAAAACAUUUUCACUUGGUUUAGUAAUUUAAAAUUUUGUUAAUUAUUAUUUCAUUGCACUUUAAAAAGCUUUUGAUAAAUUUGUAUAACACUACCUUAACUCCUCUUCUUUGUCAACUAUACACAUAAAGUUUAUUUAAGCUUCGUAUUCAAAUACUAUUUAAUGAUAUUUUUCUUUCUUCAUUCCAAGAAUGUGAUGAUUAUGGCCAUAUCUUUGGCCUUUGAACAUAUCUUGUUUUCUUAUUGAACAUAUCUUGUUUUGAUGAUUGAAAUAAGAGUAUAGUCAUGAUAGUAAAAUAAAGUUCAACAGUUAAAGGAAGUAUAGAUGAAAAAAAUAAUUUUCAACUUUUUUUUUUUUAUAAUUGUAUUCAGGUAUGAAAAAAAAGAAAAGUUAUAUUUCAAUAUGUAUUUGAAUACUAUUUGUAUUAGAUUUAAUCUUUUUUACCCCCAAAAACGUAAUUAUAAGGAACAUUUUUGAAUGGUGACAAAUAAGGGGAAGUAACUCAAGUUGAAAAAUGUUUGUAAAACAACAGUGAAAUUUAUUUUACGACCUAAAAGCUAAGGUAGUUGGAGUUAAUUAACAGUGUGUUUGACACCAAAGCUGUCAAGUGAAGCCAUGCACUUAAUGGGUCACUUCAUUUGACAGUUUACACAGCUAGCUGAACUUCCUGUUCAUGGAAGAAUUACGAACUUUGCCGGUAUUUCAAAGGAAAAUCACUUGUGAAAUCAAUCUCAGGGCUAAGAAAUACAGGAGAAAACGGGUCAUUUUUGGAAUUCCCGGGUUAUUCUAUGACCUGACAGGCGUUCCGGGUGAUCCCUUAGAAUUGUGAAAAUCUGGGGUCACACCCGCAGAAUACAGGUCAGUUGACAGGUAUGGUUUAGCUAUUAAAUAUCAUAUAAAUUAAUUCACAAACAACAUAAAUGUCAAAAGAACAAGUUUUAACCUUUAUAUCAAUUCUAAAUAUUUUUACUUGAUUUGAGAUUUAGUAAAUAACCUCAACAAGAUAUUCCAGUUUUAUCUCCUCAUAGGACAAGCUGUGAAUGCAGCCUUGCAAAUCUAGAAAUCCUAGUAUAUAAAGUCUGUAAUUAUGGAAACAAUUGGAAGAACAUUUAAGAGUAAGACUGAUCACAGCUGCUUUUGUCCGCAUAGAAAGGUAAAAUUUUAAAUUCAGUUUACCCAAAGUAUGACACCAGUUUUAAUAGAUAUCUUUCUACAGACAAACUUAUAAACUUUAUUUGGAGAUGAUGUCCAUCCUGUGUUACCAUGAACCGAGAAUUAAGACUGAGGACCCCAUUAUUUAAAAUUAAAGUGUUUUAAUAUGGAUGAAAACUAUAUUAUUUAUUUAAUUUUGCAGGAUUUUAUUUUUAGUUCUGCCAUUCUUAUCAUGUACUUAUUAGGGGAUAUGCUUGAAUGCAUGCCCAUUGCAUAGUAGCAAAAGGUGACUUCUAAAAAUUAACUCUUUACAGUAAAGAAUCAAUUUAUCAGAACCAUAACAUUCAAAAAGAUACCUUGACUUGUAGGUCAAAAUGGAAUGUGAUAUUAUAUUUCAAUCUAAUUCUAUCACAACCAAAUAUCACAAAAAAUGGAAUAUACUUAAC
rnacentral:lncRNA from 1 species